rnacentral:rRNA from 1 species
UACGUAGGGGGCUAGCGUUGUCCGGAAUCAUUGGGCGUAAAGCGCGUGUAGGCGGUUCGGUAAGUCUGCUGUGAAAGUCGGGGGCUCAACCCUCGAAAGCCGGUGGAUACUGUCGGACUAGAGUGCGGAAGAGGCGAGUGGAAUUCCUGGUGUAGCGGUGAAAUGCGCAGAUAUCAGGAGGAACACCGGUGGCGAAGGCGGGUCUCUGGGCCGAUACUGACGCUGAGGAGCGAAAGCGUGGGGAGCGAACAGG